rnacentral:rRNA from 1 species
UACGGGGGGGGCAAGCGUUGUUCGGAAUUACUGGGCGUAAAGGGCUCGUAGGCGGCCAACUAAGUCGGAUGUGAAAUCCCCAAGCUUAACUUGGGAACUGCAUCCGAUACUGGAUGACUUGAAUCCGGGAGAGGGAUGCAGAAUUCCAGGUGUAGCGGUGAAAUGCGUAGAUAUCUGGAGGAAUACCGGUGGCGAAGGCGGCAUCCUGGACCGGCAUUGACGCUGAGGAGCGAAAGCUAGGGGAGCAAACGGG